CAUACUGGCCAUGCGGACACAGUGUGCAAGUGGAAACACCCCUGCAUAUCCUGGAGAGAAGUAGGAGGGAAUCUGUAGUGGAUUUUAGAGGAAAGUGCACUUCGAAGCACAGGACACCCUGCUGACACUACCUACCGAAUCCGAAGGUGUGUUCCUUCUACUCAGAGCUUUGUCCAUCUCUCAAGGGUUGGUAAAACAGAUUUGACUUGUGGAAAAUUAACUUCAUCGAUUGCCAAUUAAAAUAGACAGGAAUGAUGAGAAAUAAGAAGUGAAAGCAUCUUCUCCCAGGCCCCUGCAGCCCUCUGCACAGAGCUGGAACACCUGCACACAGAUGUACAGUGUGCAACUCAGAGACAAGGGAGAUGGCUACUUCAAUGAGACAGCCACUACUCUGAAACAUGAGAGGGUCCUAGAGGAGGAAAUAAGGUCAUCUUAGAGGCUCUAAGAAUCACUGAAAGUGAGGAGACACUCCUGAGAAAUCAAGGGAGAAGAUCCAGGAAAGUUUUCCAGCUACAGGGAGAAAGAGAAAAUUGGGUAGAUUUUAUUGCAAGUCAGAUAAUCUUUAAAGUUGUUGAACUGAGAAUUAAGAUUAAGUGAAACAACUGCAAAUAAUGUAGGUCAAGGGAACAAGGGAAGAUUGACUUGCGGACAUUUAUAUUUAUAGUUUAUUUUACUCAGUGCACAUCUGACUUUUAUAAGGGUUUCUUAUUUUAUAAUAAAUUUAUUUGUAGAUUUAUUUUUAUCUGUCUACCUCCCUACCUAUCUAUUUAUUUAUUUUCUGAUGAGAAGGUUACUCAUCUUAAAGAAAAUUAUGGCCAGAAAUUUCCUCAUGAAGAAUGGAGGGUUCUGACAACAGAUUCCUCAUGAAGAACGGAGGGUUCUGACAACAGAUUCCUCAUGAAGAAGAAGAGGGAUUCCUGAAGAUUGAGGUGAUUCCUGCAUACUGUCGAACUCUCCUGAGCCUGCUGCCUGACCGCUGUUGCUGCUUCAAGAAUUGGCUCCUCGACUUCUUUGUCUACCUGCCUGCUGCCCAAGGCCGGCCACGCUGCUGCUCCCCGUCUUCUGCUGCGUCUGCCUGGGACCUUCAAACACCGUGCAAUGGGACCGCUGCUGGAUCCUGCUGGUGACUCUCCCCGCUUUACGCAACUCCUGCUUCUUUUCCAUCUUUUCUAUCGC